GUUGAGUGGGAGUAAAGUAAAUAUAUCACUUGAUGUGUAAACGUUUAUUUAACAGGAUUUGACAGAUUAUAAAAUGGAUCGAAAUGUAAUGAAUUGAUAUAGUUUCCCGCCAAAAUUCCGCCAAGAAUUUUGGUGGGAUUUUUUGU
rnacentral:sRNA from 1 species